rnacentral:misc_RNA from 1 species
GGGACACAUUAGUCUCUUCUGAUGUGCAAUUCUUGCAGUCUUAGAAUCACAAAAUCACCAAAAGUCAUUGCAUGAACAUUUUCCAUCUUUAAAAUGAUGAUACCUAGUGGCAUCUCGCACAAUAAUUUCUCUAUGCACAAUACUGCUUAGUAAUUUGAAAACAGUAUGGCAAUCUCCACAAACGCGAAGAUUUUUCACUAUGCGUAUGACUGUUCCUGGAACAGACUUAAGUAGGCCAUAAGCCACAGCAGUUCUCUCACUAUGCCAAAAAAGCUGCCUCUCUUUCUCUACUUCUUCCAUGUCAUGUAAAACAGAGCUAGUAUCAGGAACAUAACCUCUUCUUCUCAUCUCUCCAUCUAACUCCUUAAGCAAACUAAGUAUUUCAUCCUUCAUAGGAUGACAUGUCUCCCCAGCAUGGAACGCUUGGAUUUCCUUCCCAAAGGUGAUGGUACUAAAACCUGGUUCCUUUUUAACUUCCCUAGCUGCCAUCAACUUCCUAACCAUUGACAUACGUUCCCACAUACCAGCACCAGCAUAAAUAUUAGACAACAGAAUAUAGGUCGAAGGAUCUUCAGGAUUCAAGCUCAACAGCUUAUUAGCAAUCCUUAGCCCCAUUUGAGUAUUUCCAUGGUGCUUGCAAGCACUCAGUAAAGCUGCCCAUGUAGGUUCAUCAGGCUCAAACGGCAUCGCAGAAAUGAGAUUCUCAGCCUCAUCAAGGCACCCAGAUCGGCUAAGAAGGUCCAACAAGCAUGUGAAGUGUUGCAAGGAGGGCUUAAUUCCAUAGUCUUCGGUCAUGGAUUUAAAAAGUUCUCGGCCUUUGCUAACUAACCCAGCAUGGCUGCAAGAAUAAAUCAAUCCAACAAAGGUUACUUCAUUUGGCUUCACCUUAGCUAAAACCAUGUCAUCAUAUAAAGCUAAUGCUUCAUCGGCUCUGCCAUGCUGAGCUGCUCCAACUAUUAUAGAUGUCCAAGAAACAACAUCUUUAUGA